GUCAACUACCCCGCCCUAAAGGGCGGAGCUUGCCUGCCUGCCGCGCCGCACGCGGCGCAGACAGGUGAAAGCAAGCUGGGUUGACCAGCCUAAGCCCGCCUGACCGGGAAGUCGAAAGGGGCUACGUGUACAACAGGUCGUUAAGACUCACCGGCGGAUGCUUCCUCAGUCUGCCGCUCUGAAAGGUCAGGAUCAUGCUGACGCAAGGUAAAACGUCGAAGGUUUUGAUCGCCGCGCCAGCGGGAGCCGGUUGUACACAUUGGCGAGGGGAGCGAGCC
rfam:Thiorhodospira sibirica ATCC 700588 ctg232, whole genome shotgun sequence.